rnacentral:lncRNA from 1 species
GCCUCUUGAUGGUAAAGAAUGUCGUAAAUAAAAAAAUAGCCAUCUGAACCUCAACCAAAAAGCAAGCAAAUAAGCCAUAGAUAAAGUGCCAAGAGUUUGGCAACAACUGAACUCCGGGACAUAUUUAAGAACUUGAAGAGCUGGAUGAUAAAUGGAUGAAGGGGAAGCCUAAGUUUGACUUUAAAUGACUGCUCGUAUAGUUCAAGCCAACCUAGUGGCGGGUCACAGAUCCGACCACUCAAUCUAUGAAGUUCCUGCUCAUACUUGGCC